rnacentral:misc_RNA from 1 species
AGCGCGCGGCGGGCGGCGGUG